rnacentral:rRNA from 1 species
UACGGAGGAUCCGAGCGUUAUCCGGAUUUAUUGGGUUUAAAGGGUGCGUAGGCGGAAGAAUAAGUCAGUGGUGAAAGUUUGCAGCUCAACUGUAAAAUUGCCAUUGAAACUGUUUUUCUUGAGUGUAAAUGAGGUAGGCGGAAUGUGUUGUGUAGCGGUGAAAUGCUUAGAUAUAACACAGAACACCAAUUGCGAAGGCAGCUUACUGGGAUACAACUGACGCUGAGGCACGAAAGCGUGGGGAUCAAACAGGAUUAGAUACCCUGGUAGUCCACGCAGUAAACGAUGAAUACUAGCUGUAUGCGAUAUACUGUAUGCGGCACAGCGAAAGCGUUAAGUAUUCCACCUGGGGAGUACGUUCGCAAGAAUGAA